rnacentral:rRNA from 1 species
AUUGAACGCUGGCGGCAUGCUUUACACAUGCAAGUCGAACGGUAACAGGCCGCAAGGUUCUGACGAGUGGCGAACGGGUGAGUAAUGCAUCGGAACGUGCCCAGUCGUGGGGGAUAACUACUCGAAAGAGUAGCUAAUACCGCAUACGAUCUAUGGAUGAAAGCGGGGGACCGUAAGGCCUCGCGCGAUUGUAGCGGCCGAUGUCAGAUUAGGUAGUUGGUGGGGUAAAGGCUCACCAAGCCAACGAUCUGUAGCUGGUCUGAGAGGACAACCAGCCACACUGGGACUGAGACACGGCCCAGACUCCUACGGGAGGCAGCAGUGGGGAAUUUUGGACAAUGGGCGCAAGCCUGAUCCAGCAAUGCCGCGUGCAGGAAGAAGGCCUUCGGGUUGUAAACUGCUUUUGUACGGAACGAAACGGCUCUGGUUAAUACCCGGGGCUAAUGACGGUACCGUAAGAAUAAGCACCGGCUAACUACGUG